GUUCACCGCAAUAUAACUCUGUCUGGCAGUUUUGCAAAUUCCUGAGAUUGAGCUUCUACAGAACUGCUAUUGAAUCAUGUCAAUAUUUAAUCAGCACCUAAAGACUGCUGGAAAUAAAUAUUUAGAGACAGUGCUUCUAUUUUAUUGUUUCAGUGCACUGAAGAAGUAGGGAAGAAUGCACUUCUGCAUCACCCUUUGAUUUGAUGCAAUUUAAAUUCUCAGUGCUUAUUCUUGCAAGUGAGGAAGAGAUUAAGAACUGGACUCCAAGAUUUUACAAGCUGUAAUGAAGUGACUAAGUGAAGAAUUUCAUUUUUCAAUCUUUUAUUCAGGCAAACGUCUGUUAAAGUCACUGUGACAAUUGAAGAUGAAGAAAGAACAGCCCUCUGAAGGACCCCUCACCCCAUAAUGAGGCUCUGAAUGGAAGGAAAUUUCCCACCAAGCAAAUUACGUGUCAUCGUGAGAAAAACACAGAACUUGGUCUGAUAUAAACAGCAUCCUGGGCAGUAUGAGAUGCUAGUCACAGGAUAAAGCCAAAAGCUGUAGAAGUUAUUAUUUCUACAUUUGUUCCAUUGAAGAAAACCAUGAAAAUUUCCUUCUACUUCUACUGCAGAAACUGACAUCCUGUUAUUUUGUUAUUUCUAACAGCUUUUCUGUAUCACUACUUACAUAAUUAUUUUUCUUAAUUAAAAAGUAGUUAAUAUUCUGUUCCUUCUUGCCUUCUAAGCACACUUUAAUUUCUCCUUCAUCUGAGGGAAAUUACUUCCCUGAGAAGAAAACUGCACAGGAAUUAAGCAACGGGC
rnacentral:lncRNA from 1 species